rnacentral:snoRNA from 1 species
CCAACCGUGAUUAAACCCAUUUCAACCAAUUGUUCCGACUGAAUAGUUGUAUUACUGUAUGUCGACAACCUUGCAUUAUCGUUAAGUUUCAGCCUUGUAUGAGUUGG